GUAUAUAUUUAAAGCACGGUGUUGGGUCGUUUUGAUCUAAGUGCAUUUUGACAUGAACACGUUAUUUAAAAACGUGCGCGGCUUUUGUAGUUUUUUUUCCCCCCUCGACGAAAACAUUCUGCAGCGGACAGGUUGAAGUUUUCUCACCUGCCAGGAUAUCCAGGCUCCUACUGUGCACCUGCUUACUGACAGUCACCAGCUUAGUGUAACAACAGUGUAAAUGACGGUGUGAAUACAGUCAGAAAACAAUAGGAGAGUCACUUCAUAGUCACUUCAUAAGCUCUGACAUGAGCAUGCUGACAAAAAAAAAACAGAUGGCUAAUGUGCCCCUGAGGGGAGGGUUUGGCAAAUGAGGCGGAACCGAAGAAUUUGUCUCGUAUUGUGAGAGGAUCCAACUGCAGGAGCUGCAGGUCUGAUCCCAGACUGGAGAUCCAAUGAGAGGCAGAGGGUCAAAAACCAGGUCUUCUGCCCACUGAUCCCUGGGACCCGAAGACAGGAAACCGGGAACUGAUGGGACUUGGGGCCAUUGAUGGACAGACUAUUCAUGGAUGAUCGAGGUGCACGGGAAGGCAGACUCUGGACCAUGUAUCCAGGAACGGGACACCGCCUUACUAGACCCAAACACUCAGAACAAGACACAAGUCUCCAUGAAUCAUGAACCCUAAGAUGCUAUGCUGGGACCCAAAACCACCAGGCCAGUAACAUUUCUGUCAAACCAAAAAAAAAAACUUGAAAAACAUGGACUGACUAUCAAGCCCCCAGAAAAGAGCCUCUGAUUUGAAUCAGGGCCAUAUGCUCUAAUAACGAUGAAUGCACAGUGGGCAGUGCUUACCGCCAUUUAAAUAAGGUUGAGGUAGGGUGAUGUGUAGCUCGAUCAGCAGGUUAUGGAUCUUUACCCAUGCCUGGAAGGUGGUAGGUUCAAAUCCUGUGGCUGGAGGAGUAAUCAAAGCAGCAUUGUGCCCUUGAAUAAGGACCUUAAUCUCAAUGCUUCAGGAAUACUGGAUGACCUUGAUUCUCACUUAUACGCCACUUUGGACUAAAGUAGCUACCAAAUAAAGUAUGAUAAAGCAGGCAUGUGUAAUAAAAUAUGAUAAAGCAGGUAUGUGAA